rnacentral:snoRNA from 1 species
UUUUUCAGUUCAUAAGCAUGAUGACUGGGUAUUCAUGUCAUCUAAACCUUGUUAUGAUGUUAGCACAUGACCCAGCUG